rnacentral:rRNA from 1 species
CUACGGGUCGCUCCAGUGGGGAAUAUUGCACAAUGGGCGCAAGCCUGAUGCAGCCAUGCCGCGUGUAUGAAGAAGGCCUUCGGGUUGUAAAGUACUUUCAGCGGGGAGGAAGGGAGUAAAGUUAAUACCUUUGCUCAUUGACGUUACCCGCAGAAGAAGCACCGGCUAACUCCGUGCCAGCAGCCGCGGUAAUACGGAGGGUGCAAGCGUUAAUCGGAAUUACUGGGCGUAAAGCGCACGCAGGCGGUUUGUUAAGUCGGAUGUGAAAUCCCCGGGCUCAACCUGGGAACUGCAUCUGAUACUGGCAAGCUUGAGUGUCGUAGAGGGGGGUAGAAUUCCAGGUGUAGCGGUGAAAUGCGUAGAGAUCUGGAGGAAUACCGGUGGCGAAGGCGGCCCCCUGGACGAAGACUGACGCUCAGGUGCGAAAGCGUGGGGAGCAAACAGGAUUAGAUACCCGAGUAGUC